rnacentral:misc_RNA from 1 species
UUUUUUUUUUUUAAUUUUUUUCAAAUUUAGCAUGUGUUAUUCUCAAUCUUUUGAGGCAUUAAAAUCUGAAUUAGGCUUGGCAAGUUUUAUGGGUGUUUGAAAGUUGAGAAGAACAUGAAAUAGUAGGGUGAAGAUUAAAGGAAUUGUUUGCCAAUAGUUAUGCCAUUGAAGAUGAAGGGUAUGUUUGUUUUAACUGUUUGAUGUAAUUAUUGUUAGUUUAUGUUAAGUGUUUGAUAAAAUUAUAUUAAACAGUUAAAACAAACAUACCCUUCAUC